UACAGAGGGGGCAAGCGUUGUUCGGAACUACUGGGCGUAAAGGGCGCGUAGGCGGCCUGUUAAGUCGAACGUGAAAUCCCCGGGCUCAACCCGGGAACUGCGUCCGAUACUGGCAGGCUUGAAUUCGGGAGAGGGAUGCGGAAUUCCAGGUGUAGCGGUGAAAUGCGUAGAUAUCUGGAGGAACACCGGUGGCGAAGGCGGCAUCCUGGACCGGUAUUGACGCUGAGGCGCGAAAGCCAGGGGGAGCAAACAGG
rnacentral:rRNA from 1 species